rnacentral:pre_miRNA from 1 species
UCACUUUGGGCCUGAUCCAAACCCUACUGAAGCCAAUGGGAGUUUUUCCAUUGUCUUCAGUGGACUUUGGAUCAGGCUCUAAAAUA